UUCACGGCUUAUGGCAGCACUUCAGACAGAGCAUCUCGUUAAAGCUUGGGAGCGCAACUGAGAAACGAAGUGUCGGACAUUGGCGAUUAACCGGGAAUUGGUUCGUUAAGAGACGGCGUAACACUGCUUCGCUGCGCGAUGAAUUUGCUAAUCGGUUUCCUUUGACCCGUGAACGUGGUCAAUAACAUCGCUCCCGAUGUGUGAAAUACCCCGGUUUUGGGUGAGGUGAGUCUGGGGCAGAAUUCCUCCUGGAUCUCGCCAGCUAAUGAUGGCUCAUAUGAUUCGAAUGUGCAGGACGAUGGGUCUUCCAGCCUUCCCAUUUGGCUGCUGUUGUCUUCCCGGAGAUGUAUUUGUGCUGUUCCGGCUCUGCUUGCACCCCGCACAUAUACCGAUCCCACCAGGACGAAAAGCAUUGAUGUAAUGCAGUUUAGUCAAAGUUUAAACCAAUUAACUUGCUAACAACGUGUGUUUGCUGGCAUUGUGCAAACACUGAGGUCUGGAACACAAUGCAUAGAUGAUAGCAUAUUCGAUUCCUAGUUUUUGUUCAAACAACACUCGCAUACCUUUUUCGGACUCGUGCAAGGUCAUCAUGCCUGGGGGUGGCUGGCUUUUUACAUCCAGUGUUUUUUUUCCCUCCGGUAAUUACCUUAGGGAUUUGUAUUUUUUUCUGCGUUUUCCAUACAAUACUUCAGCAGGGCCGCAACUAUGUCAAUAUUUUUCCUUUUUCACAUGCACCUAUAAGGUUGUUGCCAAAUGUUUGCUAAGCUUUUUGGGGGCAGUCAUGUAAGAACUCGCGCUAUUGACUGUGGCUCCCUAGUGACUGCGCCCUCAGUAGGCCCCCUGCUGGACCUAAAUGGGAUUUCUACCGUGGGCUCCAUCACAGCCUUGGCAGGUGACUCGCAUGGGUCUUGGCGUACAGAUUUGCUUUAAUGUGCUUAGUGCAGCUCUUGUUUCUGCGAUGCCAUUUUGGGGGCCCUAAGUACAGCUGAACAUUGGGUUCAGGAUGUUCCUUCAAACAAGUGGUGCAUCACCUUGUAGUCAAGAUACAUCCAUCCAUCCAUCUUCUAUACCCGCUAUGUCCUAAAAUGCCAGAGAUUACAGGAAGGACAUUGACCAAAUGAGUGCAGAUAUGAACAGGAUUGGAGACCUGAGUGUCAGAAAUCGAAAUUUGUAUCAGAAUAUCUUACUUUCCCUUGGACCAUAUUAGAACUGAUCAACAGAGUAUGUCAUCAAACACGGCCACUGCCAAGAAAGCAAUUAGCCAUGGCCUUAUCCUCAAUCUCUGGCCACUGGGCGUUUGGGCCAAACCACAAAUGGGUGCCGUUAAAUACCACAAGCUUAUGAGACUCACUCUGCCUGAUUUUUGUUGACCUUUAGAGUGAUAUUAAAGUCUGCUUUGUCACUGAGGCUAUUGCUGGCUCGUGGAUGCAAAACCAGCGUCACUUUAACUUUCAAGGUUCUUGUAGCGAACGUUGCUGCAGUUCCACUAAUGUCAGAAACGGAACACAGUUAGUGCAUAUCAACAUAUUACAUGGCAUCCAUCAACCAGAAAAGCAGCUGACAAAAACUUAUCAGUCUUUAUUUAUUAUGGUUAUUUAAUGUAGUUGUUUAGCAGGCACUUCUGUUCAAAGUGCCUUAAAGUGCUUAAAAGCUUUCACUUAACCCAUUUAUACAACUGGAUAUACUGAAACAUUAUGGUUAGGUGUCUUGCCCAAGGGUUACGAUGGCAGAAGCAUCCUGGAACUCCACCGACUUAUUUGCAAGUCCUUAAUGUCUACUGUGGCAUCUGGCAUCCAGAGGCUGUGAGUUGGCGCCUAUGUGUCUCCUCCGGCAUUUCUGGCGACCCCUAGUGGCUGAAGGACACACGCCGGUCAUUCUGAUACAGUUUCAGCUCCCAGGGGUCUGGGAUGACCCAGAUAGCUGGAAACUGUUCGUCGCCCUCCAUCAACACUUGAAUCUCAGUGCGGGCCAACUCCUCCAGCUCAGGGGUCAUUUCUGGGCACCAGUCGGUGCUGAAUUUGUCCCGGGCCUCCCAGAGAGAAACCUCUACCUCCUCAGGCUGCUCCCCAAACAGAUAGUCUACAGGGGUUAGGGUGCAAAAGAAGCAGAGUGGAACACAGUGGGUGAGGUACACACACACACACACACACACACACAGACCUGUACUCAUAUCUUUGUGGGGACCGUCCAUUCAUUUCUAACUCUUAAUCCCAACAAUGACAAAACGUAUCCUGACAAUCCAAGGCAGGGGGGGGGGGUUGUACCAUCCAUUGAGCUUUGUGUCCUUUUUGCGAAUCCCACUCGAGGCUCACCUGCCAGGUCGUGGAUGAGGUCCCUGAUGAGGUGUCCGAUGAUGGCGUACAAGACCGUCCCCACGAUGAACGUCGCCAUCAGCAGAUACAGGACGUACUUGGGCAGGUGGAUGGCAUCCCGUGCCGGGGGGACGUAGUUCUUGAACAGAACCUCCACCUGCUGACUGUCCUGGUACGAGCUGACAUCCAUGACUGUCGUCCCUGACUCUGCUCCUCUCCGGACACUCGGUGCCCCCCCCCCAAGUUUCAUGGUGAGGGGGGGAGCCUCCUCACCAUCCCCACCUGUUCUCUCACCUACGGUGGACCACCUAGAAGGCGAAAACACGUGAGGUCAUCAUGUGAUGUCGCCGCUCCUAACUGACGAUGUCUCUCUCUGUCAACUUCCCAUCAAAGUGUCCCGUUUGCAUCCCUGCAGCCAAAGUUGGUGAAUAUCUCCGGCUUUAUUUACAGUAAUCCAGCCCAGCCCACAGUACAGAACUGAUUCACCAGUAUCCUUUUAAGUGAUUAUGACUGCUGGCUUAAAUUUUUAAUACGAUUGUAGACCUCACUGAGCAACCUUCUUCUGAUGGUUUAAAUAAACUUUCCACUCUUGGUUGAUAAACGUAAAACAAAUGACUCACGAUUGAGGAUGAGAUCUUGACUGCAUAUUUGAUUCCUGAAACCUAUGUAGACUGGAAUCGAUUUUUAAACUUCAGAGAAGUAAUAUCUACCUGUCACUUCAGAUAUAAAGUAACGGGAUUGCCGUUUUCCAUCUAGCUGACCUCCUUAAGGUUAUUCAGCAAACUGGUGAAAUCACUGUGAAAGUGAAGGGCGACGAAAAGAUGAGAAUGCUGCACUUACUUACUAAAGAAACUCCGAUUUGCGGGCUCACGCCUAGGUCCCUGAGAACCUUCCAGAGAAGACGGAGCUGAUGAAGGCGCAGCUAUCCUGACCGACGUCUCCGCUCCCGCCGGCCCUCUGGUGUCACACUAAGCCAUCCAAGCGCAUGGUGAGCUGAGCUUGGCUUAGAAGAAGGUGGACCUAAGGACUGCUGAAGGACAUCGUCCUGAGGAGGAUGAGGCAUGGAAAUCCCAACGCCAGACAAGAUGUCCAGGGCAAUACAUCUUAUAAAUCAUGGACGUAGAGGAGAUCUCCAUCACAGACUGGGAUUUAGAUAAUCUCUGUUACUCAGCCUGAAGCUUUGAUGACCUGGAUACAUCUAAUCUGUACAUUUACAGCUUCUAAAUUCACACUGACGGCAGCUGAAGAUAAUUGGAUGUAGCAGAGCUGGAUUCACUUAUUCUGCAAGUGUCAUGUUGCCUUCAUUGAUUUAAGUCCAACUGUGAUGCUUUCAAAAUGAAACGACCUGAAGCAAUAGGUGAAUGGAGGAUCCUCCUGAGAGAGACUGAUAUGUCUGAAGAAAGUACGCGUAGACACAGGUGACUGUGACCUUUUUCUCCUUGAGAGAAACUGCAAACUCACAUGGAACAAAAUGAAAGGCCUGGCCUUACGUCCACCGCUGUCCUGCGCAGAACGCAUAUCCACCUGUCACCGAACCGCUCGGAAAAAUGUCAAAGAGAAAAUUGUCCAGCAAAGACUCAAAUGAGGACCACUUUCAGAAAAACAUGAGGAGCCUGGAUGAAAACAACCGGAAAACAAAACAGCAAUGGGUGUAGCAUUGAAAAUAAGUUGGAUACUUAACUUCCUAAUGAUGAAUGAGAUGACUGAUCAUACGUGGACAUUAAGUGCAGGAGCUGAACUAUUCGUUCACCUUCAUCGUGGUUGGGGUCACUGAAGACAUAGAAACCAAACAAUAAAAUGAAUCGUUCAGCUUCAACUUGGCUGGUGUCUACGUGAAAUUGCAAAGAGAUCCGUUGGGCUGCAGUUAACCUGAGAUACGACUUCACUGCUGAACUACUUUGCUGGACAGAUGCAGGCGUGUUCCAUUGCAGACUGUGUUCCAUUUUUUUUUUUCCCGUCCCUGAUAC